rnacentral:rRNA from 2 species
UUAAGCGACUAAGCGUACACGGUGGAUGCCCUGGCAGUCAGAGGCGAUGAAGGACGUGCUAAUCUGCGAAAAGCGUCGGUAAGGUGAUAUGAACCGUUAUAGCCGGCGAUGUCCGAAUGGGGAAACCCAGUGCAAUUCGUUGCACUAUCGUUAACUGAAUACAUAGGUUAACGAGGCGAACCGGGGGAACUGAAACAUCUAAGUACCCCGAGGAAAAGAAAUCAACCGAGAUUCCCCCAGUAGCGGCGAGCGAACGGGGAGCAGCCCAGAGUCUGAAUCAGCUUGUGUGUUAGUGGAACGGUCUGGAAAGUCCGACGGUACAGGGUGAUAGUCCCGUACACCAAAAUGCACAGGCUGUGAACUCGAAGAGUAGGGCGGGACACGUGGUAUCCUGUCUGAAUAUGGGGGGACCAUCCUCCAAGGCUAAAUACUCCUGACUGACCGAUAGUGAACCAGUACCGUGAGGGAAAGGCGAAAAGAACCCCGGCGAGGGGAGUGAAAAAGAACCUGAAACCGUGUACGUACAAGCAGUGGGAGCACCUUUAUGGUGUGACUGCGUACCUUUUGUAUAAUGGGUCAGCGACUUAUAUUCUGUAGCAAGGUUAACCGUAUAGGGGAGCCGCAGGGAAACCGAGUCUUAACUGGGCGUUAAGUUGCAGGGUAUAGACCCGAAACCCGGUGAUCUAGCCAUGGGCAGGUUGAAGGUUGGGUAACACUAACUGGAGGACCGAACCGACUAAUGUUGAAAAAUUAGCGGAUGACUUGUGGCUGGGGGUGAAAGGCCAAUCAAACCGGGAGAUAGCUGGUUCUCCCCGAAAGCUAUUUAGGUAGCGCCUCGUGAACUCAUCUUCGGGGGUAGAGCACUGUUUCGGCUAGGGGGUCAUCCCGACUUACCAACCCGAUGCAAACUACGAAUACCGAAGAAUGUUAUCACGGGAGACACACGGCGGGUGCUAACGUCCGUCGUGAAGAGGGAAACAACCCAGACCGCCAGCUAAGGUCCCAAAGUCAUGGUUAAGUGGGAAACGAUGUGGGAAGGCACAGACAGCCAGGAUGUUGGCUUAGAAGCAGCCAUCAUUUAAAGAAAGCGUAAUAGCUCACUGGUCGAGUCGGCCUGCGCGGAAGAUGUAACGGGGCUAAACCAUGCACCGAAGCUGCGGCAGCGACACGAUGUGUUGUUGGGUAGGGGAGCGUUCUGUAAGCCUGCGAAGGUGACCUGUGAGGGUUGCUGGAGGUAUCAGAAGUGCGAAUGCUGACAUAAGUAACGAUAAAGCGGGUGAAAAGCCCGCUCGCCGGAAGACCAAGGGUUCCUGUCCAACGUUAAUCGGGGCAGGGUGAGUCGACCCCUAAGGCGAGGCCGAAAGGCGUAGUCGAUGGGAAACAGGUUAAUAUUCCUGUACUUGGUGUUACUGCGAAGGGGGGACGGAGAAGGCUAUGUUAGCCGGGCGACGGUUGUCCCGGUUUAAGCAUGUAGGCUGGUUAUCCAGGCAAAUCCGGAUAAUCAAGGCUGAGGUGUGAUGACGAGGCACUACGGUGCUGAAGUAACAAAUGCCCUGCUUCCAGGAAAAGCCUCUAAGCAUCAGGUAACAUCAAAUCGUACCCCAAACCGACACAGGUGGUCAGGUAGAGAAUACCAAGGCGCUUGAGAGAACUCGGGUGAAGGAACUAGGCAAAAUGGUGCCGUAACUUCGGGAGAAGGCACGCUGGUGUGUAGGUGAAGUCCCUGCGGAUGGAGCUGAGACCAGUCGAAGAUACCAGCUGGCUGCAACUGUUUAUUAAAAACACAGCACUGUGCAAACACGAAAGUGGACGUAUACGGUGUGACGCCUGCCCGGUGCCGGAAGGUUAAUUGAUGGGGUUAUCCGUAAGGAGAAGCUCUUGAUCGAAGCCCCGGUAAACGGCGGCCGUAACUAUAACGGUCCUAAGGUAGCGAAAUUCCUUGUCGGGUAAGUUCCGACCUGCACGAAUGGCGUAAUGAUGGCCAGGCUGUCUCCACCCGAGACUCAGUGAAAUUGAACUCGCUGUGAAGAUGCAGUGUACCCGCGGCAAGACGGAAAGACCCCGUGAACCUUUACUAUAGCUUGACACUGAACAUUGAGCCUUGAUGUGUAGGAUAGGUGGGAGGCUUUGAAGCGUGGACGCCAGUCUGCGUGGAGCCAACCUUGAAAUACCACCCUUUAAUGUUUGAUGUUCUAACGUUGGCCCCUUAUCGGGGUUGCGGACAGUGUCUGGUGGGUAGUUUGACUGGGGCGGUCUCCUCCCAAAGCGUAACGGAGGAGCACGAAGGUUAGCUAAUCCUGGUCGGACAUCAGGAGGUUAGUGCAAUGGCAUAAGCUAGCUUGACUGCGAGCGUGACGGCGCGAGCAGGUGCGAAAGCAGGUCAUAGUGAUCCGGUGGUUCUGAAUGGAAGGGCCAUCGCUCAACGGAUAAAAGGUACUCCGGGGAUAACAGGCUGAUACCGCCCAAGAGUUCAUAUCGACGGCGGUGUUUGGCACCUCGAUGUCGGCUCAUCACAUCCUGGGGCUGAAGUAGGUCCCAAGGGUAUGGCUGUUCGCCAUUUAAAGUGGUACGCGAGCUGGGUUUAGAACGUCGUGAGACAGUUCGGUCCCUAUCUGCCGUGGGCGCUGGAGAAUUGAGGGGGGCUGCUCCUAGUACGAGAGGACCGGAGUGGACGCAUCACUGGUGUUCGGGUUGUCAUGCCAAUGGCACUGCCCGGUAGCUAAAUGCGGAAGAGAUAAGUGCUGAAAGCAUCUAAGCACGAAACUUGCCCCGAGAUGAGUUCUCCCUGAGACUAUAAGUCUCCUGAAGGAACGUUGAAGACGACGACGUUGAUAGGCCGGGUGUGUAAGCGCAGCGAUGCGUUGAGCUAACCGGUACUAAUGAACCGUGAGGCUUAACCUU